UACGGAGGGUGCAAGCGUUAUCCGGAUUCACUGGGUUUAAAGGGUGCGUAGGCGGCUUGAUAAGUCAUUGGUGAAAGCUCGCAGCUUAACUGUGAAACUGCCAUUGAAACUGCCAAGCUUGAAUCUGGUUGAAGUGGGCGGAAUACAACAUGUAGCGGUGAAAUGCUUAGAUAUGUUGUAGAACACCGAUUGCGAAGGCAGCUCACUAAGCCAACAUUGACGCUGAGGCACGAAAGCGUGGGUAGCGAACAGG
rnacentral:rRNA from 1 species